AUUGAACGCUGGCGGCAGGCCUAACACAUGCAAGUCGAGCGGAUGAAGGGAGCUUGCUCCUGGAUUCAGCGGCGGACGGGUGAGUAAUGCCUAGGAAUCUGCCUGGUAGUGGGGGAUAACGUCCGGAAACGGGCGCUAAUACCGCAUACGUCCUGAGGGAGAAAGUGGGGGAUCUUCGGACCUCACGCUAUCAGAUGAGCCUAGGUCGGAUUAGCUAGUUGGUGGGGUAAAGGCCUACCAAGGCGACGAUCCGUAACUGGUCUGAGAGGAUGAUCAGUCACAACGGGAACGGGAAACGGGCCAAAACCCCUAGGGGGGGGCGGUGGGGGAAAUUUGGGAAAAGGGGGGAAACCCUAACCCGGCCUUGCCGGGGGUGUGAAGAAGGUUUUGGGUUUGUAAAGCAUUUUAAUUGGGGGGGAAGGGCAGAAAGUUAAAACUUUGCUUUUUUGACGUUACCAACAAAAAAAGCACCGGCUAACUUCGU
rnacentral:rRNA from 1 species